CGAGACCUCAGGUCAGGCGGGACUACCCGCUGAGUUUAAGCAUAUCAAUAAGCGGAG
rnacentral:rRNA from 1 species